GGACGUGGCGUAGUGGUAGGGAGCAGGGCUCGUAACCCAAAGGUUGAUGGUUCGAUUCCCCGCUG